rnacentral:misc_RNA from 1 species
GAUGAAGAACGCAGCGAAAUGCGAUAAGUAAUGUGAAUUGCAGAAUUCAGUGAAUCAUCGAAUCUUUGAACGCACCUUGCACUCCUUGGUAUUCCGAGGAGUACGCCUGUUCGAGUGUUAUGAAGCUCUCAAAACGCAAUUGGCUUAAAACCUGAUUGUUGUUUUGGAUUUGAACUUUGCCGUGUUAUAACGGCUGGUUUUAAAAGUAUUAGCUGGUACUAGAACGAAUUGGUUCUACUCAACGUGAUAAUUAUCUGAUCGUUGAGGACAUUCCUUUCACGAGGAAUGGCCAUAGUAAAUUCAAUGGACUGCUUCUAAUCUGGCUUUAAUUCUUUAUUGGAUUAACCACUUUUCAAAUCUGAACUCGAAUCAGGUGGGACUACCCGCUGAACUUAAGCAUAUCAAUAAGCGGAGGA